UCAAAAGAAAUCCGAAGCGCUUUCAUUCGAUUUGUUGUGGAUUGGAUGAUGGAAAAACCAGCAAGCAGCAAGCGUAGUUAGAAAAGUUGCCGUAGCGCGCCCUACGGAGUUGUACAAAGUCACCACGACGCAAUCCAGCCGCAUCCCUUCCGCCUUGCCAUCGCUAGCAGCAGGACGAUGUCGCCGGCGCUCCUCGACUAUCUCCACCUUGACGCUGCCGGACUCCUCCAU
rnacentral:rRNA from 1 species